CUCUUUUUCUCCCUUUUCCCACUCUCUCAUCUCCUCUCUCCCCCCUCCUCUCCUCUCCUCUUCUCUCCUCUCUUCUGCUCUCCUCUCUUCUCCUCUCCUCUGCUCUCUCCUCUCUUCUCCUCUCCUCUCUCACCCCUCCUCUCCUCUCCUCAUCCCUGUCCUCUCCGCUCUCUCCUCUCCUCUCCUCUCCUCUCUCCUCUGCUCUCUCCUCUCUUCUCCUCUCCUCUCUCACCCCUCCUCUCCUCUCAUCCCUGUCCUCUCUGCUCUCUCCUCUCUUCUCCUCUCCUCUCUUCUCCUCUCCUCUCCUCUCCUCUCCUCUCCUCUUCUCUGCUCUCUCUUCUCCUCUCCUCUCCUCUCCUCUCCUCUGCUCUCUCCUCCUUUCCUCUGCUCUCUUCUCUCCUCUCCUCUCCUCUCCUCUUCUCAUCCCUGUCCUCUCCUCUUUCUCUCUUCUCCUCUCCUCUCCUCUCCUCUCCUCUCUCUUAUCCUCUCCUCUCCUCUCUCUCUGUAUCCACGUCUCUUUUCUCUGCUUGGGUAAUGGGCAUGCUUCUCUGCUGUUGCUGCCACUGCUACCGAGACAGACAGACAGACAGACAGAUAGACAGACAGACAGAUAGACAGACAAAUAGGCAAGCCAGCAGGCUGGCGUAUGUUAGCCACCCCACCUCUAAACCCCCACUCCACACAAAGGCCCAGAUCAGAUCAGAUCCCCAGACUCUGAGAGCCAGUGGGCCCGGGGGCCUCAGGUGACCUGACGGGUCUGAUAAGAGCCUGCGCCGGCUGCCCAGCGUCGGGAGGAAGCGCACCGGUGUCCCAGAGGCGAUGAGACGCCCGUAACCUGAUCCCAGACCAGGACGGUUAUCUGCAGGCCUGUGUGUCUGUGUGUGUGUGUGUGUGUGUGUGUGUGUGUGUCUGUUUGUCUGUGUGUGUCUGUCUGUGUGUGUGUAAGUCUGUGUGUGUGUGUGUGUGUGUGUGGCGGCUGACGGAUCCUUUCAUCGUCUGCCUUCACUGUCCCUGUCCUGGCGGAGAGGU
rnacentral:lncRNA from 1 species